CCUUUGCCGACCGCGUUAGGGAUAGUAGCGACAUCUUUUUUAAGUUUUAUAGCUAUAAAACUUAAAAAAAUAUAGCGAAUAGCCCGUUAAAAC
rnacentral:sRNA from 1 species